rnacentral:rRNA from 1 species
GACGAACGCUGGCGGCGUGCUUAACACAUGCAAGUCGAACGGAAAGGCCCAGCUUGCUUGGUACUCGAGUGGCGAACGGGUGAGUAACACGUGGGUGAUCUGCCCUGUACUCUUUGAUAAGCCUUGGCAACUGGGUCUAUUACCGGAUAUGACAUUACAUCUCAUGGUGUUUGGUGGAAAUCUUUUGCGGUUCAGGAUUUGCGCGCGGCCUAUCAGCUUUUUGGUGGGGGAGUGGUCUACCAAGGCGACGACGGGUAGCCGACGUGGGAGGGUGAACGGCCACAAGGGGACUGAGACACGGCCCAGACUCCUAUGGGAGGCAGCAGUGGGGAAUAUUGCACAAUGGGCGCAAGCGUGAUGCAGAGACGCCGCGGGAGGGAUGACGGCCUUCGGGUUGUAAACCGCUUUCGCCAGGGACGAAGCGUGAGUGACGGUACCUGGAGAAGAAGCACCGGCUAACUACGUG